UGUGAUAAAUUAGUCGGGGUAUUUUAUAACUUGUUACUGACGAAAAAGAAUAUUAAGAUUUUGAGUUUGGAGAUUUGAAAUCAGAUAGUAAAUAAUUUAUUAUAAUAAAUAAGAGGGUUUAAAGGUAAACUUCUUUACUUGGUGUUAUAACCAAAUAUACUAGGAUUAUAAUUUCUACAUAAAAGUCAGUAAAUGAUAAUUAAGUACAAAGGCAAAAUGUUAUAAUAAGUAGAUAAAUAUGUUAUUAAUUUCUCGUUUUAAUUCGAACUGUUUAUUAAAAACAUUUCCAUAACAAUAUUUUUAUGGUAGGACCUGCUCAAUGUAAUAGUAUGAAUAGCCGCAGUAUCUUGACUGUGCUAAGGUAGCAUAAUUAAUUGUCUUUUAAAUAGGGAAUUGUUUGAAGGGUUGUUUUGGGUUAUAAAAUAUUAAUAGCAUUUAGUUGAAAUUAGUUUGUGGGUAAAGAACCUCACGAUACAAUAAUAGACGGAAAGACCCCAAGAGCUUGAUAAAAUUUUAUUUGGGGCAAAGUCUUUGUUUUAAAAGAAGUUGGAACCUUUGGAGUUUAUUGGCAAAGUUACCUUGGGGAUAACAGGGUUAGAAAUAAGGAGAGUUCAUAUCGAUUUACUUAGUUGCUACCUCGAUG
rnacentral:rRNA from 1 species